UACGUAGGGUGCGAGCGUUAAUCGGAAUUACUGGGCGUAAAGCGUGCGCAGGCGGUUCGUUGUGUCGGCGGUGAAAGCCCCGGGCUCAACCUGGGGAGGGUCACGCGAUACUGCUCGACUUGAAGGCAGGAGAGGGAAGUGGAAUUCCCGGUGUAGUGGUGAAAUGCGUAGAUAUCGGGAGGAACACCAGUGGCGAAGGCGACUUCCUGGCCUGUUCUUGACGCUGAGGCGCGAAAGCUAGGGUAGCAAACGGG
rnacentral:rRNA from 1 species